rnacentral:piRNA from 1 species
UAAAAUGAACAGUUUUUCUAGCAGGG